AAAGGAACUUGGGCACAUCUAUGAAGAGAGGACUAGCAAGGACCUGAGGAGAAGCAGUCAAGGAGGUGGAAGAGAGUUCCUAGAAAGAGGGAGUUCUGGAUCCCUUGGAGCCAAGGACUGGAACUGACAUGCGAGACCUCUACCAACUGAGGGUUUUUUGAGCACACUCCUUUGCCAAGAUUUGGUGAAAAGUCUUUCACUCUGCAAUUGUGUCUUAGAAAUUCUUUUAUCAUGAUCGUGCUUGGCUGGAUGCUUUUUGUUGGCCUUGCAUGUUACAUGGGCACGUUUCCGGAGUUUAUGACUCCAACUCUGAGGUGGAAAGAGAGGUGGCCUGUUCAGGAGAGCAAGGCCCGACGGAACAGCCAGGCUUUGGAUGAAGAUCUGCAACUGAACAAUGUGGAAGGGAUAUAAGUAUCCCCCAGGAGGGAUCCCACUGGAAACAAGCAAAGAUGAUCCUGGUGAAGUAAUGCAGCUCUGAAGCCCUCCUGACCCGCUGGCUGUACAGUUCCUGUUGUUGGUUUCACAUAAAGUAAUUGCACAUUAUUUUUUGUCACAUUUUAUGUAAAAAGCUACCGUACUUUUAAAGAUAAAGACUUGGUAUUCCGUUAGCUCAAAACAGGGAGAGGGAGGCUGUGGAGACAGUUGGGGGUGGAUGGAAGUGGUUGAUUCCCUUCUGUUUCAUAGUCCCUAAGACUGGUAGUAAGACUAAGAUAUCCAGUUCAGUUUCUCCUCUGUUCUGUAUCCUUAAGGAUAGAAAUUCUCAAGAGCUCUUUAGACCUAUUUCCCAAGUAAUGCCUUUCUCCUGGGUCCAGGAUUGAAAUUAUGUUCAAGGGCUAGAGAUUGCAGCAACUUUAAGCCUAUUCUUUGGGGCUAUUUCUCUGUGGCCUUCCCACAACUAUUAUUAAGAGCCCAAAGCUUCCACCUUGUGGGGGAAAGGUCCUCAUUUUCAUAUUAGGUGUAAGAUACUCAAUUUUACAUUAUUUUAAUCCUUCCAGUAACCGAGUAGUAGCCUCAUUUCACAAAACGGCAAAAAUGAAGUUGAGAGUCGUAAGUAACUUACCAACCCACGCAGCUGAGUUGCAGUGAAGGUUAAGAUCCUGGCCUUUUCCUUGCAUGCUUUUGUGCGUCAAGAAAAAGGGCCAAACAAGAGACUGGGGUAUCUAAGAUCUUGACUGCCUCAUGGUCCAAAUGACUUCUUCAUCUGUAUAGCCAAAGAAGUGGCCUGAUGAUUCUUUUUGCACUGACGGCUGCUUAAACAGGCAAGUGUAGAAACAAAAGCUAACUGCUUAGUCAUUAUGAUGCAGUUUGAGUUUAUGAGACCAAGGAUGGAAACUAUGAGAUCUAUCCAGUUACGCUGGGUGUCUGAGCCUUAGGUUAUUCUGAAUAAGCCCUCUAGUGAUUUGGAGCUUUUUGACCCUAAGGGGAGAUGGGGAGGGAGGAACAGCUCUAACAGGAGUAAACAUAGUACUUUUAAAAUAAAAUGUAUAAGUUGUUCCCAUUCUGUGGCUGCUUGGAUGACUGAUAGAGUUCCAUUGUCAGGAGUGCACCCUUACCAGCAUAUCUUUUGGUUAUGUACACAUUUUGUUGAUGCCUAUUUGAUACACAUUUGCUGAACUAUUUUGUAAGUGGCUCUAUGCACUGAAUGGAUUAGCCUUUUUUUUUUUUUUUGUGGAAGGAAAUGUGAAUUCAAAACCCAUAAGCAAAACUUUGUAAUUUCUCAACCUAGGAUACUAGCAUCUCUUGUACUUAUGACUUAGUCUCAACAUAUUUCAUGAAGUGACUGCAUUCUUCGGCUGCAUGGUUGUGCCUCAUGUAUGUCUUCCUAAAGAUUCAUCUCAGGUCUUAUUAUAGGGGAUCAGAGCUUGCUUUUCUUGAUAAGUAUAUACCCAGUUCUUUUUCCCUCCAGUUCAGAGUACACCUCCAAACAGUUCUCCUAACUUAGGUGCCUUCUGGAAGCUGGUGGGAGAGAUGAUAUGUCACUAGUAGGGUCUGAACAGAUGUGUAUAAGGGAGAACGAACAGAGGCAUGUGUAUAAGGAGACAAACCCCAUCUCUGAAGUCUGAUGAGUCUACUGGGGUUUCCAGCUGGAAAUAUGUUCAGGGUGAUGAUAUAGGAAUAUGAGUUUUGGUAAAUAAGUGCAAACCAGGGAGAUAUCAAUAAAAUAUUUUUAAUGCCUACAAUUUCUUUUAUACAUAAAUUGCAAAACUUUCACCUGUAUGUGCAAAAGUAGAUUCUCUUGCAGGUCAACAGCACCAGGUUAACAAGCUAAGCUAUGUAAAUGUUUCUAAACUUGUUUAGAAACAAUGUUUAUGUAAAAGAAAUGAUGGAUUUAAUAACUUCAAAGAAACCUAUAUAUCCCAUUCUUAAUCAUACACUAAAACCUGAAUAUUUAUUUCAUCACAUUCACUCAUAAAAUAAAUAGUCUAAUAUAUUCAGCACAUUGAAAAUAAACCAACCAUCUCUCUUCAUAUAUUUAUUCUCUUUCCAAACAUGUUUUGGUCUCCUGCUAUAUCUCAGAAAUGUACCAGUAGCUGCUUUUAAGUUACAAAAUACAAAACAGUAAUUUAUUUCUUGGAGAAAAUCUUGGGGAUUACAUUUAAAAAAAUGAAAUUUUGAGUUCCCAUAGACUUCCUUUUUUUUAAGUCUUUGAACCUUUUCACGGCACACAUGUAAGGCUGCCUGUGACAUGUGGUACCCUGCCCUCCAAAUGGACAUAACUGCAUUUAUAGUAUAGAGACAAUACAAAGACAAGUCCUGAAAGUAGCCUUAAAAGUGCCCUUGCUUUGACAUAGCAACCAUCAAAAGCAAGCGGGACUGUGCAAUCAGAGGCAUACGAGUUUUAUGAAAACUACUUUCCUUUCACGUCAUCUGUUAGAGAAUACCACACCCAUGAUCAUGUAACAUUAUUACAACCGUGAAAUAACAUUACUACAUUCGUGCAUUAACAUUAUCCAAUAAAAGGCACAUCUUCAAAUAUUGAAUUAAUAAAAUCUGAAAGUCAAAACGGAGGAUACAUUGAAAAUCAAGCACUUAAUUUGUAAACUUUGAUAAAAAUAACAGCCCAUUCCAGUUUCUUCAAAGGUUUGUGAACUUUGUGGUCAGGAAUUACAGAAUAAAGUGGAAGACAGGAUUUGGAAACAAGGCCAAGAUUAAUUUAAAAGACUCAGAACUUUUCAAAAAAAAAAAAAAAAAAAAAAAAA